rnacentral:rRNA from 1 species
AUGAACGCUGGCGGCGUGCUUAACACAUGCAAGUCGAACGAUUAAGACGGCUUCGGCCGUGUAUAGAGUGGCGAACGGGUGAGUAACACGUGACCAACCUGCCCCGCGCUCCGGGACAACCGCUGGAAACGGCGGCUAAUACCGGAUGCUCCGGGGAGGCCCCAUGGCCUCCCCGGGAAAGCCCUGACGGCGCGGGAUGGGGUCGCGGCCCAUUAGGUAGACGGCGGGGUAACGGCCCACCGUGCCCGCGAUGGGUAGCCGGACUGAGAGGUCGACCGGCCACAUUGGGACUGAGAUACGGCCCAGACUCCUACGGGAGGCAGCAGUGGGGAAUUUUGCGCAAUGGGGGGAACCCUGACGCAGCAACGCCGCGUGCGGGACGAAGGCCUUCGGGUUGUAAACCGCUUUCAGCAGGGAAGACAUAGACGGUACCUGCAGAAGAAGCUCCGGCUAACUACGUGCCAGCAGCCGCGGUAAUACGUAGGGGGCGAGCGUUAUCCGGAUUCAUUGGGCGUAAAGCGCGCGUAGGCGGCCGCCUAAGCGGAACCUCUAAUCCCGGGGCUCAACCUCGGGCCGGGUUCCGGACUGGGCGGCUCGAGUGCGGUAGAGGCAGGCGGAAUUCCCGGUGUAGCGGUGGAAUGCGCAGAUAUCGGGAAGAACACCGAUGGCGAAGGCAGCCUGCUGGGCCGCCACUGACGCUGAGGCGCGAAAGCUGGGGGAGCGAACAGGAUUAGAUACCCUGGUAGUCCCAGCCGUAAACGAUGGACGCUAGGUGUGGGGGGACCAUCCCCCCGUGCCGCAGCCAACGCAUUAAGCGUCCCGCCUGGGGAGUACGGCCGCAAGGCUAAAACUCAAAGGAAUUGACGGGGGCCCGCACAAGCAGUGGAGUAUGUGGUUUAAUUCGACGCAACGCGAAGAACCUUACCAAGUCUUGACAUCCUGCGACGCACAUAGAAAUAUGUGUUUCCUUCGGGACGCAGAGACAGGUGGUGCAUGGUUGUCGUCAGCUCGUGUCGUGAGAUGUUGGGUUAAGUCCCGCAACGAGCGCAACCCCUGUGAUUAGUUGCCAACACGUAAAGGUGGGAACUCUAAUCAGACUGCCGGUGAUAAAUCGGAGGAAGGUGGGGACGACGUCAAGUCAUCAUGCCCCUUAUGCCCUGGGCUGCACACGUGCUACAAUGGCCGGUACAGAGGGUUGCCACCCCGCGAGGGGGAGCGGAUCCCGGAAAGCCGGUCCCAGUUCGGAUCGCAGGCUGCAACCCGCCUGCGUGAAGUCGGAGUUGCUAGUAAUCGCGGAUCAGCAUGCCGCGGUGAAUACGUUCCCGGGCCUUGUACACACCGCCCGUCACACCAUGAGAGUUGGGAAUACCCGAAGCCUGUGAGCUAACUGAAAAGAGGCAGCAGUCGAAGGUAGAAUCAAUGAUUGGGGUG